rnacentral:tRNA from 1 species
UCGGAGGUGGUGUAAUUGGCAACACUGCUGGUUCUGGUCCAGCCUUUGGGGGUUCGAGUCCUCCCCUCCGAG